AGUAAACGCUGGCGGUAUGCUUAACACAUGCAAGUCGAACGGGGUUAUGAAUAAAGCAAAUGAAAGUAAGUUCUGUGGAGCAAUCCAUAAAAUUUACUGUAGUUUGUGAUAUUCAUAACUUAGUGGCAAACGGGUGAGUAACACGUAGGUAAACUGCCUCUGUCACGGUAAUAACCCUGAGAAAUUGGGGCUAAUGACCGAUGGUAUCCUGAAAAUAUAUGUUUUCAGGAUUAAAGGGUCCGCUUCUGGCGGAUUAGACAGAGAUGUACCUGCGGCCUAUCAGCUAGUUGGUGAGGUAAUGGCUCACCAAGGCUUUGACGGGUAGCCGGCCUGAAAGGGUGAUCGGCCACACUGGAACUGAGACACGGUCCAGACUCCUACGGGAGGCAGCAGUGGGGAAUUUUGGACAAUGGGGGAAACCCUGAUCCAGCAAUACCGCGUGAGGGACGAAGGUCUUCGGAUUGUAAACCUCUUUUAGGGAAGAAGAAACUCCACUUCGGUGGAUUGACGGUAUUCCCGGAAAAAGUCACGGCUAACUACGUGCCAGCAGCCGCGGUAAUACGUAGGUGGCUAGCGUUACUCGGAAUUACUAGGCGUAAAGCGCGGAUAGGUGGUCUGAUAAGUUGGAGGUGAAAGCUCCGAGAAACUCGGAGAGGUCUUUCAAAACUGUCAGGCUUGAGUGUAGGAGGGGAAACCGGAAUUCCUGGUGUAGCGGUGAAAUGCGUAGAUAUCAGGAGGAACACCGAUGGCGAAGGCGGGUUUCUGGCCUACUACUGACACUGAACCGUGAAGGCGUGGGGAGCAAACAGGAUUAGAUACCCUGGUAGUCCACGCGGUAAACGAUGCUCACUUGGUAUGGGAGGUAUCGAUCCCUUCUGUGCCGAAGCUAACGCGUUAAGUGAGCCGCCUGGGAAGUAUGACCGCAAGGUUGAAACUCAAAGGAAUUGACGGGGGCCCGCACAAGCGGUGGAGCAUGUGGUUUAAUUCGACGCAACGCGAAGAACCUUACCCGGGCUUGAAGAACUGGUGGUAAAAUUCUGAAAGGAAGAUGACCCGCAAGGGAGCCAGUAGAGGUGCUGCAUGGUUGUCGUCAGCUCGUGUCGUGAGAUGUAUGGUUAAGUCCCAUAACGAGCGCAACCCUUAUCCCAUGUUGCUAUGUCGCCGUAAGGCGACAGCACUCUUGGGAGACUACCUCGGUUAACGAGGGGGAAGGCGAGGAUGACGUCAAAUCAUCAUGGCCUUUAUGUCCGGGGCUACACACGUGCUACAAUGGUCGUUACAGAGGGAAGCCAAUCCGCAAGGUGGAGCAAAUCCCAAAAAAGCGACCCCAGUUCAGAUUGUGGGCUGCAACUCGCCCACAUGAAGUCGGAAUCGCUAGUAAUCGCUGAUCAGCAGGCAGCGGUGAAUACGUUCCCGGGCCUUGUACACACCGCCCGUCACACCAUGGAAGCUGGCUGUAACAGAAUCCCGAUGUUAGUCGGGAGAAGUUGUGGUCAGUGACUGGGGUGAAGUCGUAACAAGGUAACC
rnacentral:rRNA from 1 species